GACGAACGCUGGCGGCGUGCUUAACACAUGCAAGUCGAACGGAAAGGCCCUGCUUUUGUGGGGUGCUUGAGUGGCGAACGGGUGAGUAACACGUGAGUAACCUGCCCUUGACUUUGGGAUAACUUCAGGAAACUGGGGCUAAUACCGGAUAGGAGCUCCUGCUGCAUGGUGGGGGUUGGAAAGUUUCGGCGGUUGGGGAUGGACUCGCGGCUUAUCAGCUUGUUGGUGGGGUAGUGGCUUACCAAGGCUUUGACGGGUAGCCGGCCUGAGAGGGUGACCGGCCACAUUGGGACUGAGAUACGGCCCAGACUCCUACGGGAGGCAGCAGUGGGGAAUAUUGCACAAUGGGCGGGAGCCUGAUGCAGCAACGCCGCGUGCGGGAUGACGGCCUUCGGGUUGUAAACCGCUUUCGCCUGUGACGAAGCGUGAGUGACGGUAAUGGGUAAAGAAGCACCGGCUAACUACAUG
rnacentral:rRNA from 1 species